rnacentral:rRNA from 1 species
UACGAAGGGGGCUAGCGUUGCUCGGAAUCACUGGGCGUAAAGCGCACGUAGGCGGCUUUUUAAGUCAGGGGUGAAAUCCUGGAGCUCAACUCCAGAACUGCCUUUGAUACUGAAGAGCUUGAGUCCGGGAGAGGUGAGUGGAACUGCGAGUGUAGAGGUGAAAUUCGUAGAUAUUCGGAAGAACACCAGUGGCGAAGGCGGCUCACUGGGCCGGUACUGACGCUGAGGUGCGAAAGCGUGGGGAGCAAACAGG